rnacentral:rRNA from 1 species
UACGGAGGUGGCAAGCGUUGUUCGGAAUUAUUGGGCGUAAAGAGCUCGUAGGCGGCUUGUCACGUCGGGUGUGAAAGACCGGGGCUUAACUCCGGUUCUGCAUUCGAUACGGGCUAGCUAGAGUGUGGUAGGGGAGAUCGGAAUUCCUGGUGUAGCGGUGAAAUGCGCAGAUAUCAGGAGGAACACCGGUGGCGAAGGCGGAUCUCUGGGCCAUUACUGACGCUGAGGAGCGAAAGCGUGGGGAGCGAACAGG